rnacentral:rRNA from 1 species
AGUGAACGCUGGCGGUAGGCCUAACACAUGCAAGUCGAACGGCAGCACAGUAAGAGCUUGCUCUUACGGGUGGCGAGUGGCGGACGGGUGAGGAAUACAUCGGAAUCUACUUUUUCGUGGGGGAUAACGUAGGGAAACUUACGCUAAUACCGCAUACGACCUACGGGUGAAAGCAGGGGAUCUUCGGACCUUGCGCGAUUGAAUGAGCCGAUGUCGGAUCAGCUAGUUGGCGGGGUAAAGGCCCACCAAGGCGACGAUCAGUAGCUGGUCUGAGAGGAUGAUCAGCCACACUGGAACUGAGACACGGUCCAGACUCCUACGGGAGGCAGCAGUGGGGAAUAUUGGACAAUGGGCGCAAGCCUGAUCCAGCCAUACCGCGUGGGUGAAGAAGGCCUUCGGGUUGUAAAGCCCUUUUGUUGGGAAAGAAAAGCAGCAGGUUAAUACCCCGCUGUUCUGACGGUACCCAAAGAAUAAGCACCGGCUAACUUCGUG